rnacentral:lncRNA from 1 species
AAAAAUAGAAAACCAAAGGCAAUGUAUCAAUAGAGAUAAGAAACGAAAAAACCAAUUGACUUUCCAUAAUAUCAUAUUUUACAACUUCUAAAAAGAAAAGGAGAGCAGGAUCACCCAAAACACUCUCUAUUUCUCUCUAAACUACUUCCUCUCUCUCUCUCUCUCUCUUUCAAACUCAUAAAAGAUUUCCCCAUCAACAAUUUAAACAAAAUAAACUUCUAUUUUCAUAGAUUAAAUCGGAAACGCAGAUAUCAUCAUGAAUCAAAAUCAGGGAAGAGAAUGAUACCGUGUUUCCGUCGAAAUCGGAGACCGCAUCAGAGGAGGCGAAUCCGUAGUGCAAGAAGGAAGUGGUAUUGAAGUGAUCGCCGGAGAUAGAUGGAUAUACAGCGACGGUGAGGUGGCGCGAACAGAAUUAUGCGGUUGCAAGGGGGCUUGGUGCGGUGGCGAAUCAGUGCAUACGUGAGGAUUCACGCUGGUACUAUGGUUGGGUUUGUUGUAUGGAGCGAUUUUCUAGCGAUGGAUGCAGUUUCACACAUGUAUGCUUGUUGAUAUGUGAGGAUGAAUGAAUAUUAAAGUUGUUAUUUCUCCCUCUUUUUAGUUUUUCUGGAUUUUGUGGUUGUUAAUGCUGCUUGUGUUUUUGAUGUUGUUGUGAUUAGCCUAUUUUUUCAAAGAAAGUUACAAACUUUUCUUUUCUUACUGUCCUCCAUUGUUAUUGUUAUUAUUGUUGUGCUUGCUGGUAAGGGUUUAAAGAGAUUUUUAAUACUGCAUGAUGAAGAAGUUUGUUAGAGUAUUUCUUAAUGGAUAUUAUUUCUUGUUUUAAGAAUAGAGAGAUAAAGUGAUUGUGUUAUUGUGAAUUGUGGGGAUGAUUAUUGAGGAAUUGUGAAGUUUGUAUAUAUAUUUAAUUAAUUAAUUAAAUUAAUUUUUAUAUUUAGUAAAAAUGAGAAUAAUCAAAAUAAUUAUUAUUUAUUUUAAAA